rnacentral:rRNA from 1 species
AUUGAACGCUGGCGGCAGGCCUAACACAUGCAAGUCGAACGAGUGGCGGACGGGUGAGUAAUGUCUGGGAAACUGCCUGAUGGAGGGGGAUAACUACUGGAAACGGUAGCUAAUACCGCAUACCAUCAGAUGUGCCCAGAUGGGAUUAGCUUGUUGGUGGGGUAACGGCUCACCAAGGCGUCGAUCCCUAGCUGGUCUGAGAGGCUGACCAGCCACACUGGAACUGAGACACGGUCCAGACUCCUAGGGGGGGAAGCAGUGGGGAAUAUUGCACAAGGGGCGAAAGCCUGAUGCAGCCAGGCCGCGUGUAUGAAGAAGGCCUUCGGUUUGUAAAGUCCUUUCAGCGGGGAGGCGUUACCCGCAGAAGAAGCACCGGCUAACUCCGUGCCAGCCGCCGCGGUAAUC